CCAUAUACACAACCUCACCUUCUUUGGAUGAAGACCAGCCAUUGGUGUGGUUGGUGGUGGUUCAUUUCGCUUGCCCCACAGUCUCUUCCGUUCCACAUUACUGUACAGUACCCACUUUUCAUCGCGCAUCACAAUUUGCUUUAAAAACAGAACGUUGGGAGGCUUCCCUGGUGGCGCAGUGGUU